CGAACGCUGGCGGCGUGCUUAACACAUGCAAGUCGAACGAGACGGAUUGAAAGCUUGCUUUGAAAUGUCGAGUGGCAAACGGGUGAGUAACGCGUAGACAACCUGCCGCAAAGAUGGGGACAACAGUCCGAAAGGACUGCUAAUACCGAAUGUUGUCAGUUUCUCGCAUGGGAGACUGAUUAAAGAUGGCUUCGUAACUUGGUAAGCUAUCGCUUUGCGAUGGGUCUGCGUCUGAUUAGCUAGUUGGUGGGGUAACGGCCUACCAAGGCGACGAUCAGUAGCCGGUCUGAGAGGAUGAACGACCACAUUGGAACUGAGACACGGUCCAGACUCCUACGGGAGGCAGCAGUGGGGAAUCUUCCGCAAUGGGCGAAAGCCUGACGGAGCAACGCCGCGUGAGUGAAAGAAGGGUUUCGGCUCGUAAAGCUCUGUUGACGGGGACGAACGUGCGAGAUGCGAAUAGUUUCUUGCAAUGACGGUACCCGUCGAGGAAGCCACGGCUAACUACGUGCCAGCCGCCGC
rnacentral:rRNA from 1 species